rnacentral:rRNA from 1 species
CCUACGGGAGGCAGCAGUGGGGAAUAUUGCACAAUGGGGGGAACCCUGAUGCAGCGACGCCGCGUGAAGGAAGAAGUAUUUCGGUAUGUAAACUUCUAUCAGCGGGGAAGAAAAUGACGGUACCUGACUAAGAAGCCCCGGCUAACUACGUGCCAGCAGCCGCGGUAAUACGUAGGGGGCAAGCGUUAUCCGGAUUUACUGGGUGUAAAGGGAGCGUAGACGGCAGCGCAAGUCUGAAGUGAAAUGCCGGGGCUUAACCCCGGAACUGCUUUGGAAACUGUGCAGCUAGAGUGCAGGAGAGGUAAGUGGAAUUCCUAGUGUAGCGGUGAAAUGCGUAGAUAUUAGGAGGAACACCAGUGGCGAAGGCGGCUUACUGGACUGUAACUGACGUUGAGGCUCGAAAGCGUGGGGAGCAAACAGGAUUAGAUACCCGAGUAGUC